UACGUAGGGUGCAAGUGUUGUCCGGAAUUAUUGGGCGUAAAGAGCUCGUAGGCGGCCUGUCGCGUCGGCUGUGAAAACUCAGGGCUCAACCCUGAGCCUGCAGUCGAUACGGGCAGGCUAGAGUCCGGCAGGGGAGACUGGAAUUCCUGGUGUAGCGGUGAAAUGCGCAGAUAUCAGGAGGAACACCGGUGGCGAAGGCGGGUCUCUGGGCCGGAACUGACGCUGAGGAGCGAAAGCGUGGGGAGCGAACAGG
rnacentral:rRNA from 1 species